AAAUAUUGAUAUAUAAUGAGUGAUAAAUGUCAAUUCUCAAUUUAUUAUAUAGGAAUAUAAGCUAUGGUUGCUGCUGGCCAUCUGCACUCCACAAAACUGUGAGUUCUUUAUUUUUUAUUUGCCACCUAUAUUUGCGUAGUUUGACCAUUUGUUGAACAUGUGAUCGCAUAAGUAUAAGGUCCACGAUUAAAAAACCGAUUACAUAUCAGCAUUAUGCGAUAAAAGCUUAGAUUUUUAGAAGUCCCGACAUUAUGACGUGUAUAGAAAUCUAGUUUUGUAAAGUCGUAUAAUAUGGUAGGUCUCGUCUCUCACUUAGUGUUAUCUGACUAAGUAAAAAAUUAACAAAUUCUCUACAGAUAUUCUUAGUGUUUUGAUAUAGUGCCAGCUAAACAUCGGCAAUGAAGGUGACCUAUUCCUGGAUCAUAUAUUCAUGUUUGAUUUUCGAGAGUGGCAUUAUUCAAUGACCAAAAAUAUCACGCUAUAAACACAAAUCGCGCUUGCGCCGAACCUGUUCGGUAUUGUAUAUUUUCUAUUACGUUACGCAGCGGCAAGUGCGAUUGUGUAGUGUGCUUUGCGACCAGUCCGAACGAUGACUCGACCGAUGCAUCAAGACGCUGCCGCCGCCCCCGCUGUUUUACGGAGGACUAUGGUGCUGCUACUUAUGCUUUUGACGUUCUCCUUGUCGUCGUUUCCAUCGGUCACCGCUGAGUGCCCGGACAAAUGCACGUGUUAUGAAGGUUUAGUCUACUGCAAGGAACUAGAUCGGAUUCCCGACCGCAUACCUCCGGGAACCGAAUAUCUGUAAGUCGACUAUAUGGAACAUAAUAACAACGUUAAAACGCCGGGUGUCAAGUUUUAAAAUGUACAUAAAAUGUAUGUAGAAUUUUUUGGAUGCAAGGUGGGAAUUUUCCGGUUUUGUUUUUUAACGCCUAUUAAAUUGUAUUUAAAUGUGAACUAUAUUUUUAUAUAUUAAUUGGUACCUUUUAAAAAUUAAAUUUUAUACAUUUUAAUCUAAAUCAAAUUAAUUAAUUUUAAAAAAUAAUUCACCCCGUUUCCCCAACUACUGAAGACUGCUCAAAUACGUCACUGUGUUAUAAUCUUAUGGAUAUUAUAAUUCGAGUGACGUAUACGCUUUUUCGCGAUCAUAAAAUCGUACUGCAUCGUAUCACUCGUAUCACCAGGUUGUUUCGCUGGUGCAUCCCAUUUCGUUUUUGACAUUUUAUGGCUUGCUUUGGCAUAUAGAAUCAAAAUACGUUAUGUUACAUAAAGCAUUACGAAACCGUUACUAAAAAAAUUGCAAAUUAUCAUUUUACUCAUCCGAGAUUCGAACUCGAUAAACUCGCUUAUCAAUUACCCUAAACCUAUUAACUAGGUAUGUGCUACAUAUGAUAGCAACGACACUAAAAACAUAAAAUGUGGUACUUCAUUGCAGACUCGUGUGCAAUAUGUUUUUUAUUAAAUUAAAGUUAUAAUUUAUAUAGGAUAAUAACAAGGGUUGGGAUUUUAUAGCACCUAAAGUUGCACAAAUAUGGUCCAUAAUAUUACCUUAAAUAUCGCUAAAUAUGCAAAAAUUGGCAAAAAAAUUUUUUUAAAUUGAGUUCUAUGUAUUACGAAAUUCAUUUUUAGCUUACCUACUCUGCUAUUUUUUAAGCAUUUCAAAAGAAAUAUGCAAAUGUUAUAUAAAUCCCAACCCUGGUAAUAACGAAUAACUAAUGUCCAUCGACCUGGGUCCUGCAGUUUAAGGACGUAUAAACGUAACAUGCGCAUUGUACGUUCUAAGAAAUAUUUAAACACCAAAUUCGAUGGAACUGCGAAGUAAAUUAUAAAAUAUCUCAUUAUAACAGCGGAUCUACGACAAGGAAUAAGGAUUGGUUGAAAACUCUAUAAGAUGUGGUUAAAAUAUAAAAGUAUAGGUAUCAAGUAACUGUUAAUAACUCGCAAAAUAUUGGAAAUGUUUGAAAUAGGUAAUAAGAAAGCUUAUAAAUCUCGCUUAUGACAUGUAUUAUAAAAUAAUAUAAAAAGUAUGACAUACUUUACUAUAAUCUAACGUCUAAAUUGCAAAAUUCCGAUAAGUACCUAUAUCGCAAAACUUAUGAAUUUAAUUAAUUAAAAAUCGAAAUGCAAAAUCCCCAAAAACAUUUUUCAAUAACCGAAACGCAUUGGUAAUUAAAAUAUUUUUUACAAAACUUAUGAUAAUUAUAAUUAAGAUCGAAAUGCAAUAUAGUGUUUGUAGUUGGACAUAUUAAUUUAUUUUUUUAUAGAAUUGUUCUAUUAAAAUCCAAAUAUCUUUGAAAACGAUUUUACACUAUGAUACUACGAGGGGGACUUAUAAAGAAUUAAAAUCAAAAAUGUUUAAUGUAAAAAUGAACAUUCUAACAUAUUCCACAUCGGAGUUAUACUUAAAUUGAAAAUAUGAUACCUACCUAUAUUAAUGGUUAAAGAAUU
rnacentral:lncRNA from 1 species